rnacentral:misc_RNA from 1 species
CGCGUGCGAGUGUCGCGGGAUUCGUUAUCCCGUUUUUUUUUUUGAGACCCAUACCUUCAUUGCUUCCUUCCUCGUUUUCACUAGUGUGUGUGUGGGGGGGGGGCGCAGCGAGCACACGCAUACGUACACACACACACACACACACACACACACACAACCAUAUCGACGCACGAACCGUUGUAGAGGAACCUUUAGCGGCCCUGGGAGGUGAUGGACACUCAUGCCUUGCUUGCUCUCGCUCAGAGUGCUGUGGACGCCGGUAAUGUAAAGGCUGCCUGCGAGUUCUACGAGGUGGCCCUCGCCCAGUCUCCAAACAAUGACGAGGUAUUGGAGGCCUAUGCGGAAGUCAUGAUCCACAACGUCCAAGACAUCCCUCGCGCUCGGCAGAUGCUUCGCCAUGCGAUCGACAUCAACCCGAACCAGGGGUACGUGAAGUACCUGAACUUAGCGCAACUGUGCGAGGCAGAGGAGGCACUCAAGUGCUACGAAAAGGCGUACGGGAUUGCAAGCCUCAUGCUGCACGGAUGCCGAAAGAAGAAGAUGAAAAAAACACUGCAGGAGACCAUGGCGACCAUGUGCUGCGCCGUGGCCGAGCUCUAUCUGACUGACCUCUGCUUCGCAGAAAAUGCCGAGCAGCAGUGCGAGCAGGCUGUGAACCGCGCACUGGAGCUGAAUAACGAUAUUGUGGAGCCGCACCAGCUGCAGGCGUCCCUCCGCCUGAGUCAAUGCCGCCCCGACGAGGCGCUACAGUCGCUGCGCCGUGCUGUAGACGCAACACAUCGCCUCGGCGAGGAGCAUCAGCCCACGUACGAGUCUAAGAUUGAGCUAGGCCGACUUCUGAUGCAGGUUGACCCAGCCGAGGCUUUUCAGUUCCUACUGGAAGUGCUCCAGUAUGGGGACAACAACCCCUACGUGUGGUUCCUGCUCGGCGAGAGUGCCCGUAUGCGGGGACGAUACGCUGACGCGGCGCGCCUGCUGCGGCGGGCGCGUGUGAUGCUAGUGGUCUCCGGCGGCGACGCAACUGCGCUGAGCGAGGUGGACGCCGCCAUCAGCAUUUUGGUGCAGGAGAUGGGUGGCCCGGAGGCGGCGGCGCAGGUGAAAGACCUAGAUCACCCCUACCCGCUUGAGCUGCUCGAGGCAGAAGACGACCAGGGCACAGAGGAGGACGGAGACGGCGACCUGGAAGAGCCGGAGCGAGAGUCGUGCGACGAUGAGGACGACGCCUAGUGGUGGUUUUUCUUUUUGACAAGCAAAAAAAAACUAAAUAAAUAAUCUUCUGCUCUCAUCACCACUUCGCCGUUGCACUGCGCCAAUCGUGUGUGUUUGUGUAGUUGUGUGUGUGUGUGUGUGCGUGUGGGUGGGUGCCUCGCGGUGUCUCUCUGUGCUUCUUCAUGUCUCUCACGCUUCGCCCUUUGCUUUCGUGGUCUUUCCCCGCACACCACCUCUCCCUCUCCCUCUCCCUCUCCCGUUCCUUCGUGCGGGGUGUGCGUUUUGCGUGUAAACAUAGGCGACUAACAUCCGUAAGGCUGCCGAAACACACACACACACACACGCGUCGAGUGUGGCCUUGAGGAAGACACAGGGAUGGCGUGGCAAGACGGACACACAGAGGCUACUCUCGUGCGCACAGGUGCAAGUUAGGCGCACCAGGUGAUCUUGCGUCGGGCACCGUUUCCAUCAUUUCGGCCUCUCUCUUCUGAUCGGCCGCAUAUCCUGUCAGGGCAGCCGCCUUCGUGAGGCAGGGAAUAGAGGCGCCAGCUCGCCUCUUGUCCUACCGCCUCUCCUCGCACCUCCCUCCUCCUGCUGCCCUCUAAAGCGGCGGCGCCUUUAUCUGGGCUCAUGAUCAUCUCUUUCUCCUUGAUAUCCUCUUGCUUCUUGCUGCAUUCGUGUACUGCUGCCUCUUUCCCUCUUGCGUGUCAG